GGCCUAACACAUGCAAGUCGAACGGAUCCUUCGGGAUUAGUGGCGGACGGGUGAGUAACACGUGGGAACGUGCCUUUUGGUUCGGAACAACUCAGGGAAACUUGAGCUAAUACCGGAUAAGCCUUUCGAGGGAAAGAUUUAUCGCCAUUAGAGCGGCCCGCGUAGGAUUAGGUAGUUGGCGGGGUAAAGGCCCACCAAGGCUACGAUCCUUAGCUGGUCUGAGAGGAUGAUCAGCCACAUUGGGACUGAGACACGGCCCAAACUCCGACGGGAGGCAGGAGUGGGGAAUCUUGCGCAAUGGGCGAAAGCCUGACGGAGCCAUGCCGCGUGAAUGAUGAAGGUCUUACGAUUGUAAAAUUCUUUCACCGGGGACGAUAAUGACAGUACCCGGAGAAGAAGCCCCGGCUAACUUCGUGCCAGCAGCCGCGGCAAUACGAAGGGGGCUAGCGUUGCUCGGAAUUACUGGGCGUAAAGGGAGCGUAGGCGGAUAGUUUACUCAGAGGUGAAAGCCCAGGGCUCAACCUUGGAAUUGCCUUUGAUACUGGCUAUCUUGAGUACGGAAGAGGUAUGUGGAACUCCUAGUGUAUAGGUGAAAUUCGUAGAUAUUCGAAAGAACACCAGUGGCGAACGCGACAUACUGAUCCGUUACUGACGCUGAGGAUCGAAAG
rnacentral:rRNA from 1 species